rnacentral:rRNA from 1 species
UCGGUGCCGCAGCUAACGCAUUAAGUACUCCGCCUGGGAAGUACGCUCGCAAGAGUGAAACUCAAAGGAAUGGACGGGGACCCGCACAAGUAGCGGAGCAUGUGGUUUAAUUCGAAGCAACGCGAAGAACCUUACCUAAGCUUGACAUCCCAAUGACAUCUCCUUAAUCGGAGAGUUCCCUUCGGGGACAUUGGAGACAGGUGGUGCAUGGUUGUCGUCAGCUCGUGUCGUGAGAUGUUGGGUUAAGUCCCGCAACGAGCGCAACCCUUGUCUUUAGUUGCCAUCAUUAAGUUGGGCACUCUAGAGAGACUGCCAGGGAUAA